CCCAGCCCAGGCCGGCGCGGGGCCGCAGCCGGCACCGCCCAUCCCCCAGCUGCGAAGCCCCCCUCAAUUUCCCCCUCCCUGCGCCCGCCAUUUCCCCGGGAGCAGCUCACGGGUGUCCGAGCCGCCCCGUGGGGAGCAGCGCCCGCUUGGGGAGGGCCACAUUAAUGGGGUGACGCCCCUGGCCCCUCGUGGGGCCUGGCCGCGCUGGGAAACAGCCUCGCGGGCAGCAGUCUGGCUUAGCGCCGGGAAACCGUGUCAGUCUCCGCCACCGCCGAGUGCCACAUCGUGCCAGGCCCGGUCUCCGGUGGAAACUUGCUGCCCGGGCGGUAACGUUAGUGUGGUUGGGGGUAAUUCGUAUCUUCCCUGGCGUGUCGCUACCAGGAUGUGCCCUUGGUGGCGACUCAGCUGUAGAGACACAGAAGUCCGUUGCUGGUAUCGCUUCUUUCCCUCAGGCAACAGGCCUAAGGCGUCCCAGCCAAAGCUCUUUUUUCACCUGUAUACGCUGUGGCCGACUGCCAGCAGCAAACCUCUCCCAGUGUAGACAGAUCCUUAGGGUAUGUCUACACUGCGAAGUUGUCAACACAACUUUUGUCUUUCAUGGGUACUUUGAAAAGUCGUCCCCCAACCCGGGCCUGCGAAAGGCAAAAGUUUUGCUGAGGCAAGUGGCAGUGUAAACAUGGCUUUGUUGGCAGGAGCAUUCGCCUGCCAACAAAGCUAAAGCUGCUUGCGGGGCUGGAAGUAUUUUGUGGGUAAAAGUGCCAACAAAAAGUGUUUACACACGCUGACUUUUAGCAACAAGGCUGUGUACAACCUUGUCGCUAAAAGCUGUGUGAGGUAGAUGAGCCCUUAGUUGGUAUGUGUUAUAGCACAACUCUUAUGUGCCUCUUUAAUGGCAUGUUCCUUUAACCCUUUCUUGUGCAAAUAGCCUGGAAACACACAAGUACACUGUUAUUCGCUUGAGUAAGGCCUGUUCAUGUGAUUAAUAGUUGCAGGAGUUAGCCCUAAAUUAGGUCCUGAUUCUGAAGCUGACUGCACAGCAGACUCCUGUGCAGCAUCUCAUUAACUUCAAGGCCCUGAUCAGAUUUGUGUAGAUAGGUUCCCAUUCCAGUCCUCAAAGAAUCUGAUUUUGUUUUAAGCAAGAGCUAAUAAAGUAUUCAAAAACCUUUUCCUAUCAUUGGGGAAAAUAAUUUGCCAAUAGAAAUGUUUAUUAUUUGACUAUAUAAGUGAUGCAAUAAAGUAAUAAAAUAAUUUGGCCACAUAUGCUGUACUGUACAUGGGAAUCACACUGUGUACAUGCAUAUACCCACAACUACACUUGUGCUGUUGUUACAUGGUGUUGGCACUACCAUUUCAGGGGUUGUAUCCCAAUGUGCUAUGCAUCACUGCAGACACCCUAGGAAGUUCCUUGCUGUGUACUGUUGGUGCUGUUCCCCCCUACCAUCACACAUUUGCUGAUGACAGUUCCUGCUCACCUCCUGCCAAACUGGGUGGAAGGCAGGGAGCAACUGGAUGAUGAUCUGGUUCUGCUGCUGCUUCUUAUUGCAGUGCAAAUGUUUAUGUGGUGGCAUUUUUGAUCGGUGAAAUACAGGAUGAAAUCUGGGCUGAACUUUCUGACAUGGUGAAGACAACCAACUAUGACAGCAGUAUCCUUAGGAUUUUGGAUACUUCUUAAACUGAUGCAGGGAUUGUGGGCAUAGGAUGGACAGAAAAGUGUUUGCAGUAUGAUGGCACCAGUCAGCUACAUCAUUCCAGUUCAUGUUCUGUCCCAAACGAUUUCUCAAUUUGGAAUGAAUUAGUCCAGAGGAAGAAAAUAUUCUUUCUACACCGACAGAAGAAGCGAAUGCCAUUAAAAGUGAUAUACUGUGGCUGUGUGACAUACAUGAUGUGACUGAAACACUGUCAUUGGCAGAUAACUCUGAAACUAUAGAAAAUGAUGGUGAUCUUGAAGGUGGAUAGUCUUCAGAAUCCUAUUCUGGGUGAGAUACUUUUUCAGAAGAUAUACAUCUGUCACCAGAGGAUAGUAACUCCCUGUUGAAAGACUCUGCUGAAAUUUCAAAGCCUGUGCUUCCUUCCUCUGUUAGACCUCUGUGUUUUUUACCACUGAAAGACUAGUUCCUGCUUCUGUUUUUAUAAAAUAUUUGGAAGAUGUGACAGGAUAGAGCCAUGAGAAAUGCAGAUUAUUAAUCCUCUACAAUAUGUUAGACCCUAAAAGGCAGAAUAUCUUUAUUGCUAGAGAAACAUUUCAUGCUACUAUGAAAAGCUGGAUUACCACAUGCUAUCAUGACUGGUAACUGAGUUUAUUUUUAUUCAAACUGUUUUGACUUGGUUAUAUUUGAUUUGUAUGCAUGAUGGAUCUAAUACUGAAGUCAGUGGUUGUUUUGCCUUAAUGAGGCUCUUGAGUAUGUCUCCAAAGUUUACUACGCAAAAAACAAAUGUGAAAAUGAAGAAAUGAUGAUAAUUUUAUGGUUAAGGCACAGCAUUCAAUGGCAUAGCUGGCUUCUGUCCUAGCUGUUCCAUUGACUUCCUGUGUCACAUUAGGCAAGUUACUUAGACCUAAAUCCACUCCUGAGUACCCAGCCUGCUAGAUAAAGCUCUGCCUUCUCAUCUGUUUUAUCUGUUCCCUACAGCUACCCAUCUACCUGCACAGAAGAGGGAGUAGCAGCCUUAUGUGGGUUCCCCUCGCCCAUUUGUUUUGUGACCUGUGGGGAAAGUAGCUUCACUUCAUGCCCUCUUACUCCUCUUCACAGGCAUGAGGAGCAAGAGACAAUGUAUUUCUAACUAAUUAUAGAGCAAAUCUCUCACCUAUGGUGUUUGAUAUAAUUCUGGAAACUACAGGAAGCAGACUUUUCCACAAAGAAGAAAGGAAGAUAUGUGCAGUGUUUAUUUUGAUCUUUUUAAAUAGAUGGACUUAUAAUGCUUUGGCGAUCAGAUCCAGUAUCUCCCGUACGGUCCAUGCUGGAGCUCUUUUUGGAUUUGAGACUGCAUCGCCACCCAUGCUGAUCAGAGGUCCACGCUGGGCAAACAGGAAAUGCAAUUCAAAAGUUCGCGGGGCUUUUCCUGUCUACCUGGCCAGUGCAUCCGAGUUCAGAUUACUUUCCAGAGCGGUCACAGUGGUGCACUGUGGGAUACCGCCCGGAGGCCAAUACCGUCGAUUUGCGGUUACACUAACCCUAAUCCGAUAUGGUAAUACCGAUUUCAGCGCUGCUCCUCUCGUCGGGGAGGAGUACAGAAACCGGUUUAAAGAACCCUUUAUAUCGAUGUAAAGGGCCUCGUUGUGUGGACAGGUGCAGCGUUAAAUCAGUUUAACACUCCUAAAAUCGGUAUAAAUGCAUAGUGUAGACCAGGCCUUUCUAAAUUCAGUAUUUCAGAUGAUGAAGCUGAUGAAAAUAGAUCAACAAGUAAAAGGAACAUGUGUAAAAAUAGUAAGUCUCUUUGGUCGUGCAUGUUUUAUAGAAUGUCAAGCACAUUUUGGGCAUUACUGUAAUAUGCUAUAAAUAAUAAGCUUUAUUGCAUGUCAGUUUUUGCUGCAUAUAAUAUAGCAUUUGAUUAGGUACUUAAAACACUUAACCAUUUUAUGAGUGACAUGUUAAAGCUGUACAUUUCUCUUCU